rnacentral:rRNA from 1 species
UAGCGUGAGGCAGCAAGCGUUGUUCGGAGUUACUAGGGCGUAAAGGUGUGUGAGGCGGUUGGAUAAGUGUGGUGUGAAAAUCUCCCGGCUUAACUGGGAGGUGCGGCGGAAACUGGAAUGCUAGAGGAGUGGAGAGGUAAGCGGAAUUCCGUGGUGUAGCGGUGAAAUGCGUAGAUAUCAGGAGGAACACCUGUGGUGUAGACAGCUUACUGGACCAUUCAUGACGCUGGAGAACACGAAAGCGUGGGUAGCAAACAGG